rnacentral:tRNA from 1 species
UGCGGGGUGGCGCAAGGGCAGCGCAGCGGCCUCAUAAGCCGAAGGAUGGGGGUUCGAAUCCCUCCCCCGCGA